rnacentral:rRNA from 1 species
UGAAAGAUUCAUCGGUGGCGGAUAGGCUCGCGGGACAUUAGCUAGACGGCGGGGCAACGGCCCACCGUGGCGACGAUGUCUAGGGGUUCUGAGAGGAAGACCCCCCACACUGGGACUGAGACACGGCCCAGACUCCUACGGGAGGCAGCAGUGAGGAAUAUUGGUCAAUGGGCGGAAGCCUGAACCAGCCAUGCCGCGUGAAGGACUAAGGCCCUACGGGUCGUAAACUUCUUUAGACGCAGAGCAAUAAGGUCCACGAGUGGACCGAUGAGAGUAUGCGUAGAAUAAGCAUCGGCUAACUCCGUGCCAGCAGCCGCGGUAAUACGGGGGAUGCGAGCGUUAUCCGGAUUCAUUGGGUUUAAAGGGUGCGUAGGCGGCCGAGUAAGUCAGCGGUGAAAGACCGGGGCUCAACCCUGGAAGUGCCGUUGAUACUGUUUGGCUGGAAUGAUCCCGCCGCGGGAGGAAUGAGUGGUGUAGCGGUGAAAUGCAUAGAUAUCACUCAGAACACCGAUUGCGAAGGCAUCUCGCGAGGGGUCAAUUGACGCUGAGGCACGAAAGCGUGGGGAUCGAACAGGAUUAGAUACCCUGGUAGUCCACGCGGUAAACGAUGAUGGCUAACUGUCGGGCCUGCGGGUUCGGCGGC